GGCAGUUUUUGACCUUUUCCUUCGCGCUCUCUUUCUCUCUCAUCGAUACGCGCCUCUUGGUCUCUUUGGUUUGGAAGCUGUGAGCUAUUUUUCUAGGUCUGCAACUCCUGCAUUUUGACAAUAAUAUUUGGAAGAUGCUCUGUUCCGCUUGGGUUUGUCUUUCCGGCUUCUCUUUUCUGCUAUCUUUCUGCUCGCUGGCUGACAAGUAAAUAUCGAUGAGAACAAGAACAUAUAGAUAAGAUGUUCUGCAUGUUGCCACCCUCAAAGUCUCUACCAAUAAACGACAUCGUUGGAGGCAUUCUUUCUGUUUGCAACAUUGACUCAUGAAUGAGGAAUCUCAAUAGGAGACCCAGAGCACCAGUAGAGCAGUAGGAAAUUCAUUUAAAAUGAAAAG